GUCUUCACACACUUCAGUUCACAAGAUUCUUGAAAUCUUUAAAAUGGCUGGUUUAUAUUCCAUGUACACUAUUUUGAUAAACUGCGAAUCAGCCACAUCCUUCUCCCCUUCGGACUGGGUCACAACCAGGGCUGAAGAACCAUUGGGAAGUGUGCUGCAGGCAGGAGGGCCCAAGCACAAACUUAGGGCAGGGCCGCUCCACAGCCCACACAUCCAAUCUCAUCUCAUUGGUUGGAACACCUGACUCCAAAUAGCUGUUGUGGAAGACAUUACUCCAGUGGUUCACCUACUCUUCUGAACCACGACUGUGAUUGUUUACAUGUAAACAUUAAUGAUAAACAUAAAUCAGUAAUGAUGAGAAGAAGUACAGUUGUUUGUGUGUUAUUAGUUUAGGCAGAUUGUGCCUGUCCAUUAUUGUGACUUAGAUGAAGAUAUGAUACAGUUAUGAUAACUGUCAUAAUACCAUAAUGAGAAAGUAUAAUGAAGUCCAGGUUGAGUACCCCGUAUCCAAAACUACAAAAUCUGAAAUUUUCUUAAGCGCUGACAUGACAUCACAAAUGGAAAAUCCCACCAGACACUGUAAAGGUUCCCGGACUCUGCACAUCACAGACAGUUCUGAGAAGUGACUCAUAUGUAAUGAACAUAUGUUAUUGAAAAAUAGAAAAAAACACUACAUAAGAUGUACAAUGAAAAUUUUGAUCGUGUAGUGAAAGAAUGGAUUCAUCAAUGUUGGUGUGAAUGUAUGCCGCUUAACAGUAUGCUGAUCAUGAAACAAGCAAAGAUCUAUCACGACGAACUGAAAAUCGAAGGUAUUGCAGAGAUUUAAGAAAAGUUACGGCAUUAAAAUUUUAAAGAUUUUAUAAGUUUUAAAGAGUCUACUGAUCACAAUGCAGUACAGAAAUUCAUUGAUGAGCAUUGAUGAAUUGAGAAUUCAUUGAUAAUCACUGAUGAAGA